rnacentral:rRNA from 1 species
AUUGAACGCUGGCGGCAUGCCUUACACAUGCAAGUCGAACGGCAGCACGGGGCAACCUGGUGGCGAGUGGCGAACGGGUGAGUAAUGCAUCGGAGCGUACCUUUCAGUGGGGGAUAACGUAGCGAAAGUUACGCUAAUACCGCAUAUUCUGUGAGCAGGAAAGCAGGGGAUCGCAAGACCUUGCGCUGAUUGAGCGGCCGAUGUCAGAUUAGCUAGUUGGUGAGGUAAAGGCUCACCAAGGCGACGAUCUGUAGCGGGUCUGAGAGGAUGAUCCGCCACACUGGAACUGAGACACGGGCCAGACUCCGACGGGAGGCAGCCGUGGGGAAUUUUGGACGAUGGGGGCAACCCGGAUCCAGCCAUGCCGCGUGAGUGAAGAAGGCCUUCGGGUUGUAAAGCUCUUUCGGCCGGGAAGAAAUCGCACGGGCUAAUACCCUGUGUGGAUGACGGUACCGGAAUAAGAAGCACCGGCUAACUACGUGCCAGCAGCCGCAGUAACAC